rnacentral:lncRNA from 1 species
CCUGUUUUACGGCCGGCUAUACAGUAUAGAUUGGUAUACGAUCUUCUGAUUGUUGAAGGCCGUGUGGUGGCAUAUAAUUGAUCUAUACCACUCAAUUCUAUUUGAACUCUGGUGCAAAGUUGUCCUAUUGUCAAUCAUACCUAAUCUCAGCAUAUACAUGUAUGCCGUGUAUACAAUACCCGACAAGUUUAUGCGAACAGCAAUGAUACUAUUUUUGUU